rnacentral:rRNA from 1 species
UCGGAUUGCAGGCUGCAACUCGCCUGCAUGAAGUUGGAAUUGCUAGUAAUCGCGGAUCAGCAUGCCGCGGUGAAUACGUUCCCGGGCCUUGUACACACCGCCCGUCACACCAUGGGAGCCGGUAAUACCCGAAGUCAGUAGCCUAACCGCAAGGGGGGCGCUGCCGAAGGUAGGAUUGGCGACUGGGGUGAAGUCGUAACAAGGUACC